UGAACGCUGGCGGCGUGCUUACCACAUGCAAGUCGAACGAAGCAUUUAAGACAGAUUACUUCGGUUUGAAGUCUUUUAUGACUGAGUGGCGGACGGGUGAGUAACGUGUGGGUAACCUGCCUCAUACAGGGGGAUAGCAGCUGGAAACGGCUGGUAAUACCGCAUAAGCGCACAGUACCACAUGGUACAGUGUGAAAAACUCCGGUGGUAUGAGAUGGACCCGCGUCUGAUUAGCUUGUUGGCGGGGUAACGGCCCACCAAGGCGACGAUCAGUAGCCGACCUGAGAGGGUGACCGGCCACAUUGGGACUGAGACACGGCCCAGACUCCUACGGGAGGCAGCAGUGGGGAAUAUUGCACAAUGGAGGAAACUCUGAUGCAGCGACGCCGCGUGAGUGAAGAAGUAGUUCGCUAUGUAAAGCUCUAUCAGCAGGGAAGAUAGUGACGGUACCUGACGAAGAAGCGCCGGCUAAAUACGUG
rnacentral:rRNA from 1 species